rnacentral:rRNA from 1 species
GACGAACGCUGGCGGCGUGCUUAACACAUGCAAGUCGAACGGAAAGGCCCUGCUUUUGUGGGGUGCUCGAGUGGCGAACGGGUGAGUAACACGUGAGUAACCUGCCCUUGACUUUGGGAUAACUUCAGGAAACUGGGGCUAAUACCGGAUAGGAGCUCCUGCUGCAUGGUGGGGGUUGGAAAGUUUCGGCGGUUGGGGAUGGACUCGCGGCUUAUCAGCUUGUUGGUGGGGUAGUGGCUUACCAAGGCUUUGACGGGUAGCCGGCCUGAGAGGGUGACCGGCCACAUUGGGACUGAGAUACGGCCCAGAAUCCUACGGGAGGCAGCAGUGGGGAAUAUUGCACAGUGGGCGGAAGCCUGAUGCAGCAACGCCGCGUGCGGGAUGCCGGCCUUCGGGUUGUAAACCGCUUUCGCCUGUGACGAAGCGUGAGUGACGGUAAUGGGUAAAGAAGCACCGGCUAACUACGUG